UACAGAGGGUGCGAGCGUUGUCCGGAAUCACUGGGCGUAAAGCGCACGUAGGCGGACUCUUAAGUCGGUGGUGAAAUCCUGGAGCUCAACUCCAGAACUGCCUUCGAUACUGGAGAGCUUGAGUCCGGGAGAGGUGAGUGGAACUGCGAGUGUAGAGGUGAAAUUCGUAGAUAUUCGCAAGAACACCAGUGGCGAAGGCGGCUCACUGGCCCGGUACUGACGCUGAGGUGCGAAAGCGUGGGGAGCAAACAGG
rnacentral:rRNA from 1 species